UGCCCACUGAUUUUAAAUUAAAGGGCUGCAGUAAUUUGACUGUACAAAGGUAGCAUAAUCAUUAGUCAUUUAAUUGAUGACUUGUAUGAAGGAUUGGAUGAAAUAUAAACUGUCUUAAUAAUAAUUUAUAAAAUUUAAUUUUUUAGUUAAAAAGCUAAAAUAAUUUAAAAAGACGAGAAGACCCUAUAGAGUUUUAUUAAUAUAUAAUAAAUUUAAUAUAUAUAAAUUUAAUGUUAUUUUAUUUAUAAAAAAAUUUUAUUGGGGUGAUAAAAAAAUUUAUAAAACUUUUUUUUUUUAUUAACAUAAAUAAAUGAUUAUUUGAUCCAAUAUUGUUGAUUAAAAGAAAAAAUUACCUUAGGGAUAACAGCGUAAUUUUAAUUUUUAGUUCAAAUAAAAAUUAAAGUUUGCGACCUCGAUGUUGGAUUAAGAUAAAAUUUAAAUGUAGAAGUUUAAAAUUUUUG
rnacentral:rRNA from 1 species